GACGAACGCUGGCGGCGUGCCUAAUACAUGCAAGUAGAACGCACAGUUUAUACCUUCGCUUGCUACACCAUAGACUGUGAGUUGCGAACGGGUGAGUAACGCGUAGGUAACCUGCCUGGUAGCGGGGGAUAACUAUUGGAAACGAUAGCUAAUACCGCAUAAUAUUGAUUAUUGCAUGAUAAUUAAUUGAAAGGUGCAAUUGCACCACUACCAGAUGGACCUGCGUUGUAUUAGCUAGUAGGUGAGGUAACGGCUCACCUAGGCGACGAUACAUAGCCGACCUGGGAGGGUGAUCGGCCACACUGGGACUGAGACACGGCCCAGACUCCUACGGGAGGCAGCAGUAGGGAAUCUUAGGCAAUGGACGAAAGUCUGACCGAGCAACGCCGCGUGAGUGAAGAAGGUUUUCGGAUCGUAAAGCUCUGUUGUAAGAGAAGAACGGGUGUGAGAGUGGAAAGUUCACACUGUGACGGUAUCUUACCAGAAAGGGACGGCUAACUACGUG
rnacentral:rRNA from 1 species